UGCGCAGGCGGACUUUUAAGUCAGUGGUGAAAUCCCGAGGCUCAACCUCGGAACUGCCAUUGAUACUGGAAGUCUUGAAUUUAGUUGAAGUGGGCGGAAUGUAGCAUGUAGCGGUGAAAUGCUUAGAUAUGCUACAGAACACCGAUCGCGAAGGCAGCUCACUAAGCCAAUAUUGACGCUCAGGCACGAAAGCGUGGGGAGCAAACAGGAUUAGAUACCCUGGUAGUCC
rnacentral:rRNA from 1 species